CUAGUGUUUACGUGCUUUUUUGCUUUUUUUUGCAUGUUAUAGGGCUAUAGGUACAAGUAGGAUAUUGCGGUUUCAAAACAUACAUUUUUAAAAUUUAUCAAUAGUGACAUUGUAACACUAUUAUCUGUCAUAAAUCUCUGAAUAACACCCCACAUGUACAUAUUUUUUUUAAAGUAGACAACCCAGGGCAUUCAAUAUGGGGUAUGUCCAGUCUUUUUUAGUAGCCACUUAGUCGAAAACACUGGCCAAAGUAAGCAUUCAUAUUUGUUUGUGUG